AGAGUUUGAUCCUGGCUCAGAAUGAACGCUGGCGGCGUGCCUAACACAUGCAAGUCGGAUGUGCCGCAAGGUGCAUGGCAGACGGGUGAGUAACGCGUAGGGAAUCUACCUUUUGUGGGGAAUAACGCUCCGAAAGGAGUGGUAAUACCGCAUGAGACCGUGGCCUGGGAUGGUUACGGUGAAACCUGGGGACCGCAAGGCCUGGGGCAAAAAGAGGAUCCUGCGUCUGAUUAGCUAGUUGGCGGGGUAAUGGCCCACCAAGGCGACGAUCAGUAGCCGGCCUGAGAGGGUGAUCGGCCACACUGGAACUGAGACACGGUCCAGACUCCUACGGGAGGCAGCAGUGGGGAAUUUUGCGCAAUGGACGAAAGUCUGACGCAGCAACGCCGCGUGGGUGAUGAAGGUCUUCGGACUGUAAAACCCUGUCGUCAGGGACGAAGGUGGCAGUGUUAAUAGCGCUGUUACUUGACGGUACCUGGAGAGGAAGCCCCGGCUAACUCUGUG
rnacentral:rRNA from 1 species